UCAAAAACAUGGCUCCUUGUAAUAUAUAAAUAAGGAGUCGGACCUGCCCAGUGAAUUUUUUCAACGGCCGCGGUACUCUGACCGUGCAAAGGUAGCAUAAUCAUUUGCCUUAUAAUUGAAGGCUUGUAUGAAUGGUUUGACAAGAAUAUAGCUGUCUCUUUAUAAUUAAAUAGAAUUUUAUUUAUAGGUGAAGAAGCCUAUAUAAUAUUGAAAGACAAGAAGACCCUAUCGAGCUUGAAAGAAAUUAAUAAACUCUGCAUAUUUAAUAUAAUUUAGAAAAUUAGUUAUUAAAAAUUUUGGUUGGGGCGACUAAGGAACAAAUAAAGCUUCCUUUAUUUUGGUAAUACAAACAAGUGACGAUCCAAAAACUUUGAUUAAAGGAAUUAGUUACCGUAGGGAUAACAGCAUUAUCUUUUUUGAGAGUUCUAAUCGAAAAAAAGGUUUGUGACCUCGAUGUUGGACCAGAAUAUCCUAAAGAUGCAGCCGUCUUUAAGGGUUGGUCUGUUCGACCAUUAAAAUUCUACGUGAUCUGAGUUCAGACCGGCGUGAGCCAGGUCAGUUUCUAUCUUCAAUUUUUAAAAUAAGUUUAGUACGAAAGGACCAAUUUAUUGCAAUAUAUUUGUUUCAUUUAGAUCAAAUAUAAAGAAAAAUUAAAUUAAUUAUCAAAUUAGCAAAGAUAAUGCAAUUGACUUAGGAUCAAUAGACAUAGGUGAAAUCCCUUUAUUUGAUAAAGUAUAAAGAUGGCAGAUCAAGUGCAUUAGGUUUAGCCC
rnacentral:rRNA from 1 species